UUUGAAUGUAAAUGUAAGUCGCUUUGGAUAAAAGCGUCUGCUAAAUGACUAAAU
rfam:Danio rerio chromosome 15, GRCz11 reference primary assembly.